rnacentral:tRNA from 1 species
GAUUAUUUAGUUUAGCUCAAAACAAAUGUUUUGAAAACAUUAUAAAAGAAAUUCUUAAUAAUCA